rnacentral:tRNA from 1 species
GCUCUCUUGCUACAAUGGGUCAGUGCGUCUAGCUGUUAACCAGAAGGUUGGUGGUUCGAGCCCAUGCAGGGAUGGCU